AACUUAAGGAUGAGGGAGUGCAUUGGAACUCAUCCACCCUCUUCAAGGAUGGGUUAUUAGACACUUGUCCGUCCGUCAAACCCAUCUCCAUUUUAAUUUUCAUCUUCUGGAAACUAAAACUUGAGUCUUUCAUUUAAUCUUCAUCAUCGUAAGCCAUUUUUCGGAAUAUCGUCAUCUAUAUUGGAAUAUUACAUGGAAUAAAAGCAAUGGCCUUAACAGGAAGGAUGUUGAUUGCUUUGUCUUUGGUUUCUUUGCUUCUUCUUCUCUCGAUGGCAGAAGUUAAUGCUUGGGGAGCGUCUUGUUCCGCGGGCAAACCAGGGCCACCGGGACCUCCCGGACCCACUGGGCCCUCAGGUAGUCCAGGAGAUGGUGAACUCCUUGAAUAUAACAACUGGAAACAAUGUGCCUGGUACUCGGCUAACGGCAAUGACUAUGACACUAUCUAUACGUGCACAUUCACAAAGCGGGUGAGUGACUCCGCUCUUUGGGUCUACUAUGGCGGCAAUAUUCGUCUCUAUGGAUGCAGUGGAUGCUGUAAGAGAUGGUAUUUUACUUUCAAUGACAAUGAAUGUUCUCCUACACCUAUCGAUGGCGUGGUAUAUCAAGCCAACACUAACAACAUGAACCUGCACAGACACAGGAGUAUUUCAGGGUACUGCCACACAAUCGGAGCUGGAUCAAUUAAUGUGAAAUUCCUGGUCGGGGACUGCUCCGGGUAUGGAAACUACGAUGCAUACACGGGAUGGAAUAGUGCUUCUCGUAUCAUCAUUAAAGAGGUCCCUAAAUCAUCGUAUGGUUACUAACUUGAUCAAGACACUGCUUCCAGAAUAUUGACAAAUUUAAAUUAUUUACACAGUAAUCCAGAAGACCUAACCAAGUUUAAGGACCUUCCAUUUGUGGCAUGAUUUUCCCGGGACUUUGGAUAAUACUCCACCGCUACCAUUCGACUGGUGACUGAGUGGUGUGCAUUCGAAGAACGCGAUACGGCCAUUUUGAUUGUAGACAAUGGAAUAAUGCAACACCAGGGAAACUUUCAAUGUGAAGCUCAAAACAGACACAAUAUUAUCUUCUUGCUGUUGUCUUUUCGAACCCCUGAAGAAUAAAGACAUGACGCUGAAUUCUGGAAUUCUAAAUUUCAAAACUUCUUCAUUCUUUUUACGACGGUCUGGACGAAUACCAUAGAGGAAAUAUCCUCUGAAAAGGAUCGUUCUCACAAAUAUGACUAUAAAUAGCUGGAAAAUUAGCACCAGACUUUCUUAUCAUGAUCAUGUGUGUGUAUAUGUGUGAAGUCCAAAAUACAUUUCUGCAUGGAGUGCAUGUGGCUUUCAGCAAGACGGGGUUUAUUAUCUAUCAUGUUGAUGAUUCAAAACCUCACAGUGGACACAUCUUUAAAUUGUGUUCACCAAUCAUUGUGUACUUCUUAAUUAACCUGUCUAAAUAACUUCCAGUUAGUUUCUUCCACAAUAUAAUCUUAUGAGCAGAACUGUGAUGUUCUUUACAGGCCAGGGGUGUUUUUUAAAGUUUUUUUCCCCAGAUAUUAUUUACUUUAAAGUAUACAAAAUGUCCAUAUAUCGUUAUUAUCACCAUUAUAAAAAAUAUGCACUAUCUUUGAUUUAGACAAUGAAAGCAAAAUAAUAGAAAAUAUAUAAAAUAUAUAGAUCCUGAGUUUAUGACCUUUCCUACCCGAUUUGAAAUAGACCAAACGAAGUACUCUUUUCUGUUUUAAUUGAAUGUUAAAAAUCACCAAGGGAAAAGUUCUGUACAAAUUUUCAUUUGUAGAUAUGCAUUAUUUCAUUAUAUUUAUAUAUGGUAAGUGUACAUUACUGUCUUGUUGCUAGUUGUUAUUCUUAGAAUCACAAAUUAGGGCUUUUUAUUUUAAAUGGACACCUCUCGAAUCUAGUAUUUGUCACACCUCCACUGUUUUCGACAUAUAUCACGUCAAAGUCAGCUGGAUGACACUGCAUUUAAUACUCCUUAAAUUGGGAAUAAUGAAUUACGGAGAACAUUUUGUUGCAGAUCUAUCAUGAAUUUUUUCCUCAUUAUGUGAUAGUUGCUCGAAUAUAAGAAAUAUAAAAACCCAACCUUGACAAAAUUGUUCUGAAAGAAAGCAGGAAAAUAUAGAGAAGCGCAUGAGUGAAAGAUUGAACAAAAUAUGACCCAAAGAAAAGAAAGAUAUAUAUUAAGGGAGUUUCAAAUUGGCCAAAUCUGAAAUGUCAUUGUGAUGUAGUGGCGGAUAUCUAUCCCAUUCGUUUCCACAUGCAAAAUGAGUGAAAUGUCAAUUUUUGAAAAUGUUUGGCUCAGUAUGGUUUCUUUUUUUCCCCCAGGACCUAUAUUAAUAUGCUCUUCUUAGUAUAUUUUGAGUAGUACUCCGAGGGAGAAGUCUUUCAGGAGAAAGACAUAAACAUAAGUGAUAUUUUAUACGAGACUACGUCGCAAUCCACCGUCCAAAUUGAGAUUCGAACCAAUGUGACAUCAAUUUUUAUUCAGAAGAUAAAAUGUCUUGGUGAAAUUGUAAACAAGUGCAAAAUAUUCAAAUAAAUAACCUUUGCGAUUACCAAUGUUGUAAUGGAUGGUUUCUGUGUUUAACGUAAGGCCUAUACGUCUAACCUAAAGCCUGACAGAAUGGCAAGUAUUGAUUAAGUCGUGCCUAUAUGCCCAAAUGGUGUGUUCAUGUAUAUUACGCUGUAUAACAUCCGCCGCGACCAAAUCUACGGCUUAUUUAUUGAUUUAGAUUGAAUUCAAGAAGGAAAGGAUACCUUCUGUUUGACGAGUCCACAAGCAGAUCCAGCAGCUAUCCAUACCUGAAAAAUCGACAUUUUAUGGAAUUAUUAAAGGAAAUACGGAAUUUCUGAGUUCAGAUAGUUUAGAUAUAAUUUGAAAGGUUAUUUUGUGCAGGAGAAACAUCUGUAAUACGAUAUGGGACUUUGGAAAUACCCAGAGAAUUCUCCAAGAUCUACAAUGACGUUACUCUUGAUGUUGUGGCUUUGUAGCGUCAUAAAAGUGAACGCAUGGGGAUCGAGCUGUUCUAAAGGUCUUCCAGGCCCGGCUGGACCUCCCGGACCCACUGGGCCGUCAGGUAGUCCAGGAGAUGGUGAACUCCUUGAAUAUAACAACUGGAAACAAUGUGCCUGGUACUCGGCUAAUAACAAUGACUAUGACACUAUCUAUACGUGCACAUUCACAAAGCGGGUGAGUGACUCUGCUCUUUGGGUCUACUAUGGCGGCAAUAUUCGUCUCUAUGGAUGCAGUGGAUGCUGUAAGAGAUGGUAUUUUACUUUCAAUGACAAUGAAUGUUCUCCUACACCUAUCGAUGGUGUGGUAUAUCAAGCCAACACUAACAACAUGAACCUGCACAGACACAGGAGUAUUUCAGGGUACUGCCACACAAUCGGAGCUGGAUCAAUUAAUGUGAAAUUCAUGGUCGGAGACUGCUCCGGGUAUGGAAACUACGAUGCAUGCACGGGAUGGAAUAGUGCUUCUCGUAUCAUCAUUAAAGAGGUCCCUAAAUCAUCGUAUGGUUACUAGGAUGGCAAAACAAAUGCUUAACUUUUACUUCGAAAGUUUAGUUCCAGGAAAGGUGAAAAAUAACUUUGUCAUUCUUUUUAUGUUAGUGUGAAAGAAAAUCAUAAUAUUCAAAAUGUUUCCUUGAAAAGGAGGGAUAUUCAAAUAUCCUUAUAUUUGAAGUAUAACAAGAAAAAGCUCAAGUGUUUGGAAUAAACUUUCAUGCCACAUCAUAUUGUCGUAUAAAUUAAUUUGUAUGUGCUGCAUAAUCAAAACCUUUUCCGACUGCUUCCAGACAGUUACUUUAACAAUUCAAUCGUGAUGACCAGAACUCGACUUUUCUUCUAAAGAGGGAUUGUCAUAACAUCAGAUGGGUCUUUUAACGUUAAUACUGCACGACUUACCUGUUCCUUCGGCAAUCUUCCAUAUAAGAAUGUUCGACGUAUCACCCUUAGAUCCGCAACAGGAAACAGCCUACGAGAGCAACAGCCCUCGAGGCCCUCGAGACCGACGAAACCGACGACCCACGAGACCACCAAUUGGGAUCUCGCAGGCAUUCUGAAAACCGUUACCCGAGGGUUCACGCGUCGCGACGGCCCAAGCGACCGACAUGUCGGUUUAGCGGGUCUUCUGACGCAAUUACUCAUAGAAGAAAAUGUUCAUUUGUUAGUCUAAAUUUGUUAAUGUUACAACAUUAUCAGUUAUUAAUCUGUCAAGCAAUUCACAUUACCCUCUCAGUUUUUAGGACCGUCUUAUCAAUUGACAUAGCAUUUUGUUCAUCAUUAAUCGGAUACAUAAAAACUUUUCAAAUUACUGUAACCGCAAACAAAGUUAUGGUUCAGCAUUGUAUAAGAAAAUAAGACGUUAUAAAACUUUACAGUUAUGAGACUAGUUUUUAGCAAUAUUACUUAGUACUUGUGAUUACUAAUACAAAUAUAUUAUUGGUAUAGAGUAUUAUGUCAACAACUGCGAUCAGGCAUUUUCUACGUGUUUCACCUAAAAUCGAAUAUGUAUAAAUGUGUCACAAAUGGAUGUUGGAAAAAUUGUCGCUAUAAUUGACGAAGAGUUUCAUUUCAAGAACUCUGAUUAUUUUGUUUAGAUGAUGUUCAAAAUUAUGUUGUAAAUUUCUUUCCAAAAAAUUAUGAGACAUGUAUAUAUAUGUGCACCAUGUAUUCUGUUAUAUUUACAAAUAGACAUAGUUACGCACGGUCAAACAACACACCCAAUUGAAUUGAAUUGAAUACCUAACUAUUCAAUCACGUGACCUUCUCCGCAUCGAUUUAAGGAUUAACUAUUUGACGUCUUUUUACCAGUAGACGUAGGAUACUUGUUCUUCCAAGUUUUUAAUCGAUUGGUAGACAAAAAUAAACGAUGAGUAGCCUUCCAACUUCAACAAUUGUUAUUGCGCUUCGGACAGACAUGCACUUAUCUUGAAUGUACGAUGAUAAAACUUACAUUUCACCAAGUUCGUAUGUACUGUCCAUGUAAAGCAAUGGACAUGCUAUUUUCAAUGUACGAACUGCAUAGCAUUGAACAAACAUGAUUUAUUGACGGAAUUAACUAGAGAGAUAUUAUUAUUGGUGAUGUAAUCUUGUGGUUGACAUUAUUACAUCAUGAAAUACUUUAUUCAACUAUGGCUUCAAUAUGCUAAAUGAGAUACUGAAACAUAUACAUGAAGCGAUGUUUAUGAAUAUACAUGAGGCGACGUUUAAGGUUAGUCUUUCAUCAAAACAGACUUCUGUUUAAGUAAUAUGCAUAUUUCUGUAUGGAAUAUUUUGUGAAUAAAAAGAUUCGAAUUUU